AAAAGGUUAAGACUUCUCUAACAGGAACCACAGCAACAUUACUGAUUAAUUCAUUGUGAAAUGGCAUCAUGGGAUUGAGCGGGUGUAUUUAUGUUUGAAAUGGACAUGAACACCGAAGAGUCAUCAUUCAAAAUUGUUGGCGGGAACGAGGCAGCAGAAAGCACGGGUCUUGGCUGGACUGCAAGGUGGUGAGACGAAUCUUAAACGAACUUGAAGGCACGAGACAGCAGCGAUCGCAACAGCUAACUUCAUAGGACUGGUGGUGUGGGACAAAUGAGAAAAGGUGAAAAACCCAUUGUACACUGCCUUUUUUAUGGAUGGAUGCUAUAUUUCACUAUUGACUUUGCUAUCGAUAAAGUAUUUUUAGACGUGUAUCACUGUAAGUUGUCAGCAUGAGAGCAGUACUAUUAUAGGCUUUACUCAGCAUAUGAAAUACACAGUAAUGUUCCAAACUGUUCCUUUACAUGUGGUGUACCUGAUUGCUCCUGUGCAUUCAAAAAAUUUUCAGCAUUCAAGUCUCAUCUAUACAGAGACCAUAGAGGGUAUCAGAGGUAUCAUAGAAGUGUCAGAUUUGACCAAACAGACACAGCAUUGACUUGCCAAAUUUAAGUUUGUCAUUUCACAUGUACAAGCCUGAAGGACUUCAUUAGACAUUUAAAAGACCAUAUAGAUGAAGGCAGGGAGAUAAAAUGCCCUUUUAAGAGCUGUGAGAGGACAUUUAGUGUUAAAUCCACAUUUGCGUCUCAUGUCUCAAGAAUACACAAAAACAGUAAACCUGAACAUCUACACGAAACUGUUUUUGCAAACUCAUCACAACAUGAGUGUCAGCCCUCUACAUCUCUUGAUGACAGUUCAAUUCAAUUCAAUUCAAGUUUAUUUGUAUAGCACUUUUUACAAUAGACAUUGUCUCAAAGCAGCUUUACAGAACAUAAACACAGAGCAGAAGGUAAACAUAAUUAAUG